AGGGUUUGAUUAUGGCUCAGGACGAACGCUGGCGGCGUGCCUAACACAUGCAAGUCGAACGGGAUUAUUGAGGAAGCUUGCUUUUGAGAUAAUCAAGUGGCGGACGGGUGAGUAACGCGUGAGGACCUGUCUCCGGCAGGGGGACAACAUUUGGAAACGGAUGCUAAUACCGCAUAAGCCGAGAGGUGAAAGGAGCAAUCCGGCAGGAGAGGGACUCGCGUUCUAUCAGCUAGUAGGCGGGGUAAAGGCCCACCUAGGCGAAGACGGAUAGCCGGACUGAGAGGUCGACCGGCCACACUGGAACUGAGACACGGUCCAG
rnacentral:rRNA from 1 species